CAACUACUCCCUCCGUUCCGAAUUACUCGUCGCAGAAAUGGAUGUAUCUAGAUGUAUUUUAGUUUUAGAUACAUCCAUUUCUGCGACAAGUAAUUUGGAACGGAGGGAGUAGCUA
rnacentral:pre_miRNA from 1 species